UACAGAGGUGGCAAGCGUUGUUCGGAAUUACUGGGCGUAAAGGGCGCGUAGGCGGCCUUCUAAGUCAGACGUGAAAUCCCCCGGCUUAACCUGGGAACUGCGUCUGAUACUGUAGGGCUUGAGUGCGGGAGAGGGAUGUGGAAUUCCUGGUGUAGCAGUGAAAUGCGUAGAUAUCAGGAGGAAUACCGAUGGCGAAGGCAGGUCUCUGGGCUGACACUGACGCUCAUGCACGAAAGCGUGGGGAGCAAACAGG
rnacentral:rRNA from 1 species